rnacentral:rRNA from 1 species
AAAUGACUGUACCCGAAUAAGAAAGUCCGGCUAACUUCGUGCCAGCAGCCGCGGUAAUACGAAGGGACCUAGCGUAGUUCGGAAUUACUGGGCUUAAAGAGUUCGUAGGUGGUUGAAAUAGUUGGUGGUGAAUCCCAGAGCUUAACUCUGGAACUGCCAUCAAAACUUUUCAGCUAGAGUAUGAUAGAGGAAAGCAGAAUUUCUAGUGUAGAGGUGAAAUUCGUAGAUAUUAGAAAGAAUACCAAUUGCGAAGGCAGCUUUCUGGAUCAUUACUGACACUGAGGAACGAAAGCAUGGGUAGCGAAGAGGAUUAGAUACCCUCGUAGUCCAUGCCGUAAACGAUGUGUGUUAGACGUUGGAAAUUUAUUUUCAGUGUCGCAGGGAAACCGAUAAACACACCGCCUGGGGAGUACGACCGCAAGGUUAAAACUCAAAUGAAUUGACGGGGACCCGCACAAGUAGUGGAGCAUGUGGUUUAAUUCGAAGAUACGCGCAGAACCUUACCAACACUUGACAUGUUCGUCGCGACUCUAAGAGAUUAGAGUUUUCGGUUCGGCCGGACGAAACACAGGUGCUGCAUGGCUGUCGUCAGCUCGUGUCGUGAGAUGUUGGGUUAAGUCCCGCAACGAGCGCAACCCUCACCUUUAGUUGCCAUCAUUAAGUUGGGCACUCUGAAAGAACUGCCAGUGAUAAGCUGGAGGAAGGUGGGGAUGACGUCAAGUCCUCAUGGCCCUUACGUGUUGGGCUACACACGUGCUACAAUGGUAUCUACAACAGGAAGCAAGACUGCGAAGUUAAGCAAAUCCCUAAAAGAUACCUCAGUUCGGAUUGCACUCUGCAACUCGAGUGCAUGAAGCUGGAAUUACUAGUAAUCGUGGAUCAGCGUGCCACGGUGAAUGCGUUCCCGGGUCUUGUACACACCGCCCGUCACACCAUGGGAGUUGGUUCUACCUUAAGGCAAGGUUUCAAACCCUUGACCACGGUAUAGUCAGCGACUGGGGUG